UACAGAGGAGCCAAGCGUUGUCCGGAUUCAUUGGGCGUAAAGGGUGCGUAGGCGGCAAGGUAAGUCAGGUGUGAAAGCCUGGGGCUCAACCCCAGAAGUGCAUUUGAUACUGCCUGUGCUUUAAGAGGACUGGAGAGGAGAGUGGAAUUCACGGUGUAGCAGUGAAAUGCGUAGAUAUCGUGAGGAAGGCCAGUGGCGAAGGCGGCUCUCUGGACAGGACCUGACGCUGAGGCACGAAGGCUAGGGGAGCAAACGGG
rnacentral:rRNA from 1 species